rnacentral:rRNA from 1 species
CGCUAGCUACAGGCUUAACACAUGCAAGUCGAGGGGCAGCAUGCAGGUAGCUUGCUAUCUGUGAUGGCGACCGGCGCACGGGUGAGUAACGCGUAUCCAACCUUCCCCGUAGUAGGGCACAGCCCGGCGAAAGUCGGAUUAAUUCCCUAUGUUCUCCAAUGCAGGCAUCUAAGUUGGAGCAAAGAUUCAUCGCUAUGGGAUGGGGAUGCGUCUGAUUAGGUUGUCGGCGGGGUAACGGCCCACCGAGCCUGCGAUCAGUAGGGGUUCUGAGAGGAAGGUCUCCCACAUUGGAACUGAGACACGGUCCAAACUCCUACGGGAGGCAGCAGUGAGGAAUAUUGGUCAAUGGAGGCAACUCUGAACCAGCCAAGUAGCGUGCAGGAGGACGGCCCUAUGGGUUGUAAACUGCUUUUAUAAGGGGAUAAAGGAUGCCACGUGUGGUGUUUUGCAUGUACCUUAUGAAUAAGGACCGGCUAAUUCCGUGCCAGCAGCCGCGGUAAUACGGAAGGUCCGGGCGUUAUCCGGAUUUAUUGGGUUUAAAGGGAGCGCAGGCGGGCGAUUAAGCGUGACGUGAAAUGCGGCGGCUCAACCGUAUGAAGUGCGUCGCGAACUGGUUGCCUUGAGUGAGUUCGACGUGCGCGGAAUU